rnacentral:rRNA from 1 species
GACGAACGCUGGCGGCGUGCUUAACACAUGCAAGUCGAACGGAAAGGCCCUGCUUUUGUGGGGUGCUCGAGUGGCGAACGGGUGAGUAACACGUGAGUAACCUGCCCUUGACUUUGGGAUAACUUCAGGAAACUGGGGCUAAUACCGGAUAGGAGCUCCUGCUGCAUGGUGGGGGUUGGAAAGUUUCGGCGGUUGGGGAUGGACUCGCGGCUUACCAGCUUGUUGGUGGGGUAGUGGCUUACCAAGGCUUUGACGGGUAGCCGGCCUGAGAGGGUGACCGGCCACAUUGGGACUGAGAUACGGCCCAGACUCCUACGGGAGGCAGCGGUGGGGAAUAUUGCACAAUGGGCGGAAGCCUGAUGCAGCAACGCCGCGUGCGGGAUGACGGCCUUCGGGUUGUAAACCGCUUUCGCCUGUGACGAAGCGUGAGUGACGGUAAUGGGUAAAGAAGCACCGGCUAACUACGUG